AACAGCUCAAAUUUUAAAGCUGGCGUCUUCGGCGCACGCGUUGUAAUUUGGAGAGGCAUCUUCGGUUCGGGCGCCAGCCUAUGUUCCUUGGAACAGGACGUCACAGAGGGUGAGAAUCCCGUGCCUGGCUGGCUGUCCCGACCCAUGUGAAGCGCCUUCGACGAGUCGAGUUGUUUGGGAAUGCAGCUCAAAAUGGGUGGUAAAUUUCAUCUAAAGCUAAAUAUUGGCGGGAGACCGAUAGCGCACAAGUAGAGUGAUCGAAAGAUGAAAAGCACUUUGAAAAUAGAGUUAAAAAGUACGUGAAAUUGUUGAAAGGGAAGCGCUUGAGACCAGACUCGGCUGGGGAUGAUCAGCGGCCCUUCUGGGCCGUGCACUUGUCCCCGGUCGGGCCAGCAUCGGUUGAGGCGGCGGGAUAAAGGCCCGGGGAAUGUGGCUCCUCUCGGGGAGUGUUAUAGCCCCAGGCGCAAUGCCGCCAGCCUCGACCGAGGGCCG
rnacentral:rRNA from 1 species